rnacentral:rRNA from 1 species
GUGAGUAGUUCAGAGUUUGAUCCUGGCUCAGAACGAACGCUGGCGGCGCGUCUUAAGCAUGCAAGUCGGACGGCAAGAAGAGAGCUUGCUCUCUUCCUAGAGUGGCGGACUGGUGAGUAACACGUGGGUGACGUACCCUUUAGCUGGGGAUAGCCGGUAGAAAUACCGGGUAAUACCGAAUAAUCUUGCUUCUUUGAUGUGAAGUAAGGAAAGGAGCUUCGGCUUCACUGAAGGAACGGCCCGCGCACUAUUAGCUAGUUGGUGAGGUAACGGCUCACCAAGGCAACGAUAGUUAUCCGGCCUAAGAGGGUGAACGGACACAUUGGGACUGAGAUACGGCCCAG